GCACUACUGAGGAGUCCCACAACAGGAUGAAACGGCCAGUCUAGUAC
rnacentral:hammerhead_ribozyme from 1 species